AAAAAGCAGUGGGGGCAGCCUACACAUGCAAGUCGAGCGGUAGCACAGGGAGCUUGCUCCUGGGUGACGAGCGGCGGACGGGUGAGUAAUGUCUGGGAAACUGCCUGAUGGAGGGGGAUAACUACUGGAAACGGUAGCUAAUACCGCAUAACGUCUACGGACCAAAGUGGGGGACCUUCGGGCCUCAUGCCAUCAGAUGUGCCCAGAUGGGAUUAGCUAGUAGGUGGGGUAAUGGCUCACCUAGGCGACGAUCCCUAGCUGGUCUGAUAGGAUGACCAGCCA
rnacentral:rRNA from 1 species